CCCCUACACUGUAUUUCAGCACUGCCAACCAGAGAGUGGAGCCCCUGCCACCAGAACAGAGGAAGCUGCUCAAAUGGAAGAUGAGCACUGUGACUCCCAACAUAGUCAAACACACCAUCGCCAGGUCACACUUUAAAGUCACCAAGAGAAGUCAUGAUUGGCUUGGCUGCUGGGGUCACCAUAUGAAGUCUCCUGGGUUCAAGGCCAUCAGGGAAUACCAGAAGGCCACAUUGUAGAAGAAGUUGGUGGAAUUGUCAAAGUACUACUACAAAAAAUGACUUGUGUCCUCGUGUUUCUUUGCUCGUUACGUUGUUGUGUUCAAAAUGUUAGCUGCAGCUGUCUGCUGCUAGGAAGUCAUCACAGUCUGACAUUCCGAGUUGCCAC